rnacentral:lncRNA from 1 species
CGAGGGUAAAAUUGUCUUUUUAUAGGAAAAAUGGAUGAAAAUGACAUUUUGCUCAAUGAAAGGUGGCAAAUAGAGUGAAAAUGUCUAAAAAUAAAAGGUAUGAAUGUUUUGCACAAUAACAAUGAAAUAUAGAGAUGUUUUGUGCUAUUUACCCUAUUUGAUAUAUUCACUUAAGCUACGAAAUAUACUUUGCUUAAGAUAUUAGUACAUCAUAAACUGUUAUUCCCCGAUAUCCUAAUACAAGUUUGAAAGGGAGACUAGAAAGCAGGAUGUUGUCGACUCGCAUGUGUUAAGCAUAGAACUUAUGUUCCUUCUAAGCCAGGAUCAAACUCUAUCCAAUCCACUAGACUGUGUAGAUUUGAUGACGGAAUCGAAAGGCAAAUGCACUUGCGGUUAAGAUAGAUCCUUCAUCUAUUACUUAAUGCAAUUGAUCGACCCACCAAAGGGUCACGAUGCUUUAUUAACACAUAAAAGGAGCUACUCAACCUCACAACUUGGUGACCAAUGCUGCAAUUUUCUUUCAAACGAAAUACUGUACAUAAAAUUAAAUCAAGAAAACACAAUCGACGAAGAAUCUGUAUAAGAAAAGUAAAAAUCUCAACAUUAUAGAAUUUCAAUAAGUAGUAAAAUUCGAACAUGAAUGAGUUCUUUUCCAUGGCAUCAUUUACACUUAUCAUGUAAAGGGGGACCCAAAAUCACAGGCUUCGCUGCCUCUUCUGCAAGCUUCACCGAUAUGAAAUCGCACAAAAUCUGGCAUUGGCCUGCAAAUAAUCUCCAUAUUUGGCCUGCGAAUGUUCUGAACAAUCCAAAAGGAACAAUAAACCUCAACAAUCUGCAUGGAAUUGCCAGUAAAUGAAGACUGACUUCUCUUUCAUCCAUUACUCGGAUCAUCUUGGUUUCCUGAUUUGUAUUAAUAUGUCUUUCUUCUCUGUAUCUUUCAACGUAGAAGCUAAACCAAAUGGAGGGUUUUAGUUUUACAAUACAAGAAAUUAAGCAACGCCUUUAAGCAAGGAGUGCACUCGAAAUUAAGCAAAGAAUACCUACUACGAUUCUAACUUGAAUUCUCUUAGGUUUAUAUCCAUGUUAAGAACUAAGGUUUCGGAGUGCUCCGCGUUAUUUGUAGGAGAAAAGUUUUUCACGUGUCCUAAUCCUAUAAUG